UACAGAGGUCCCAAGCGUUGUUCGGAUUCAUUGGGCGUAAAGGGUGCGUAGGUGGCGCCGUAAGUCGGGUGUGAAAUUUCGGAGCUUAACUCCGAAACUGCAUUCGAUACUGCGGUGCUUGAGGACUGGAGAGGAGACUGGAAUUCCCGGUGUAGCGGUGAAAUGCGUAGAGAUCGGGAGGAACACCGGUGGCGAAGGCGGCUGCCUGGACCAGUCCUGACGCUGAGGCGCGAAAGCUAGGGGAGCAAACAGG
rnacentral:rRNA from 1 species